rnacentral:rRNA from 1 species
GGCCUGGCUGGGCGGUCUUGCCGCAAGGUAAGCACUGCUCCGGUCGGGUCUUUCCUUCUGGGGAGCCAGCGUGCUCUUAACUGAGUGCGUUGGGGAUCCAGGACUUUUACUUUGAAAAAAUUAGAGUGUUUAAAACAGGCGUUUGCUUGAAUACAUUAGCAUGGAAUAACGGAAUAGGAC